rnacentral:sRNA from 1 species
UAAACGGAUGCGAUGACGAUCGGAUGGU